rnacentral:tRNA from 1 species
AGCUAGGUGGCUGAAGAGAGGCGUUGGUCUCUUAAACCAUUUUAUAGUUUAUUACUUCUAGCUG